GACGAACGCUGGCGGCGUGCCUAAUACAUGCAAGUCGAACGCUUCUUUUUCCACCGGAGCUUGCUCCACCGGAAAAAGAGGAGUGGCGAACGGGUGAGUAACACGUGGGUAACCUGCCCAUCAGAAGGGGAUAACACUUGGAAACAGGUGCUAAUACCGUAUAACAAUCAAAACCGCAUGGUUUUGAUUUGAAAGGCGCUUUCGGGUGUCGCUGAUGGAUGGACCCGCGGUGCAUUAGCGAGUUGGUGAGGUAACGGCUCACCAAGGCCACGAUGGAUAGCCGACCUGGGAGGGUGAUCGGCCACAUUGGGACUGAGACACGGCCCAAACUCCUACGGGAGGCAGCAGUAGGGAAUCUUCGGCAAUGGACGAAAGUCUGACCGAGCAACGCCGCGUGAGUGAAGAAGGUUUUCGGAUCGUAAAACUCUGUUGUUAGAGAAGAACAAGGAUGAGAGUAACUGUUCAUCCCUUGACGGUAUCUAACCAGAAAGCCACGGCUAACUACGUGCCAGCCGCCGCCGUAA
rnacentral:rRNA from 1 species